rnacentral:lncRNA from 10 species
UUUCAGACUGAGGUUGACUGUGAGGUAACUGAAACCACGGAAAGCAAAACUGCCAACAAGAAUCCUGAAUGUCUCAGAUUGAUUUCAAACAAAUGCAGCAACAAAUCAAGGUGUUCUUCCUUGGGAAGUGAUGGGUGUUUUGCCUACUGUCAAUCUCUGGAAUCAUUCUGGCUACUAUGUGGACAAAAACUGUAGCAGGUAAAGAACAGGAGCCAAGAAGCCAGUAUGGAGCCAAAGAGCAGGCCAAGUGAGGGAUGAUGACUCACUCACUGGCUAGCUGAGUGGUUCUUGGUAUACCAACAAGAAUGAAAAUAACUUAACAGCAAUUUUAUAAAUUCACAUCCCCCAGAGCACCACAGAGUAAAGAAAUACUGCAUAUGGGUAACAACUGGUUCUUAGUUACUAAAUCUGAAAGAUCAAAUACAGUUAAUUACAUAAGCUUCUCUUGAGUUUUUCUGGGGGAAUAUACCAGGAGACCAUAAUCAAGGUACCAGUUUAUUGAUGGCUGUCCUUAACAAAUACAACUCUUCAAGAAAAUAAAGUAAUUUAAUGCAUAAUAAUGUUGAAUGCGUAAGUAGGAUCAAAAUUAGCUAUUUCUAAAUUGUUUAAAAAUCAGAAUUUCAUUUCAGAGUAAAAAUUAUUAUAAAGAUAAAGUAACAGUAAUGCCAUCACUAUGGAUCCUUAAUCUACAGUUUGUGAAUGUAAAUUACUUGAUCAUGUUUCCAGACUAAUUUUUGUAAAGAAAGGUUUUAUGGGUGACAUCUACAUUUGUUACCAUAUCUUCAUUUGACAAGGCAAGCUGGUAAAUU